rnacentral:lncRNA from 1 species
UCGUGUUUCAUUUUCCGAAUGGAUAGUUAUUUACGAAGGUAUUAUUUAUUAUUGUGCAAAUAUCAUAGAUAUCAUAUGAGUAUCAUAACUUUUAGAAUAAAUUAUGGAAACAGGCCACAAGGCCACGUGCAAAAAUCAGGCAUCAGAAACUGUCCACGCGCGCGCCGCUGCGGCUCGAGCUGCAUCGAUUCGUUUUCGAGCACAGGUCGAGGCAUUUGUGCCCUUUCUUCCGAUCUCAUAUUUCGUCGUGAUCCCAUACUCUGUGAUGUAAGAUCUCAUAAGACAGCUCAUUUAACAGAACACGUGAUCUUUCGCUGACGCGUUUAGAACAUGUAUUCAUAAAGAACUGCAGCAAAUCAUGCACAGUCAGCAUUCCUUCGUUAUCAUCAGAUAUAUACCUAGGCCAGUUCUUGAUGCCCGCUGCGUAAACCGAUAAUGUCGGUUGAGUUUGGCCGCUGCCAUAUGGAGGUGGGAUAUCGUUAAGUUCUGCAUCAACGAUUCCGAUCUUUAACCAACCUCUCGUCUUAGGAUUAUUAUCGAAAAGUUCCUGAACCUUAUUCAGAGCUGGCAUCAACGAUUGGUGGAACGCCCGUCUGGACUUUGGAAAAGCGACGUAAACGACGGAGUCUUCAUCAGCGUUAUCGAUGAAAACCUCAUAAAAAUUACUUGCGACGGCAUGAAAAAGCCCGUAUUUCUUGCUGUUUUUUGGAGG